GGCCGCCUGGCGAAAUGGCAUCGCGUCUGACUACGAUUUAUCGAAAUCAGGAGAUUGCAGGUUCGACCCCUGCGGUGGUCA